GGCUGGAUAGCUCAGGUGGUUAGAGCGAGGGUCUCAUAAUCCCUAGGUCGGCAGUUCGAGUCUGCCUCCAGCCACCA
rnacentral:tRNA from 2 species